rnacentral:rRNA from 1 species
CACGUAGGGCGCAAGCGUUGUCCGGAAUUAUUGGGCGUAAAGAGCUCGUAGGCGGUCUGUUGCGUCCGCUGUGAAAACUCGGGGCUUAACCCCGAGCCUGCAGUGGAUACGGGCAGACUAGAGGUAGGUAGGGGGAGAAUGGAAUUCCCGGUGUAGCGGUGAAAUGCGCAGAUAUCGGGAGGAACACCGGUGGCGAAGGCGGUUCUCUGGGCCUUCCUGACGCUGAGGAGCGAAAAGCGUGGGGGAGCGAACAGG